rnacentral:lncRNA from 1 species
UGGGUGGCUGGACAUGCCAUGGAGUUCUGGUCCAGUCUUUCAUGUCUUAAACAGGAUGAUAAGACAAGUUUAGGUUACAUUUUGAAGGAUGGAAACUGGACUUUCAAUUAAGUCAGUAGCAAGGGAAGCACAAAACCAGGGGAUACGGUGGUGCUGCUUUCCAGCAGAAAAGCAGUUCAAAGCCCGGACUGCGCCUUCUGGAGCGAAAUUCAAAUGUGGAAGCUUCGAAUAGUCAAGAGCUCUGCACCCCCCGGAAGGAAUACAGAUGAUGACUGAAGAAUUUCCAGAGAAUCUAGUGGAGGUGGGAAAGUGUCCUUCUCCAGGGAGGGUCCUGAAGAUGGGAGCAGAUUCCUGCUCUCCAGCAGCCCCUCCUCACCCAGGCCUCAGUUUCCAGGGAGAACAUGUUCAGCCUUCCUCCGUGAGAGGGGCUGGGAGGCAGCGAGGGUGAUGCCCCGAGGGUCCUAUUCUCCUGCCUCAGUUUCACGUAAUGCAAGUGUUUUCCACUAAAAGCGAAGAUCUAAACUGCCCGAGGGAGCAUCACCACUCACAGCUUUUAUAUAUUGGAUCACCUGGUGACAUUGAAUUUAAGGAGCAAAGGAGGGAAGAGAG